GACGAACGCUGGCGGCGUGCCUAAUACAUGCAAGUCGAACGCCGAAGAGAGGAGCUUGCUCUUCUUGGAUGAGUUGCGAACGGGUGAGUAACGCGUAGGUAACCUGCCUUGUAGCGGGGGAUAACUAUUGGAAACGAUAGCUAAUACCGCAUAACAAUGGAUGACACAUGUCAUUUAUUUGAAAGGGGCAAUUGCUCCACUACAAGAUGGACCUGCGUUGUAUUAGCUAGUAGGUGAGGUAAUGGCUCACCUAGGCGACGAUACAUAGCCGACCUGAGAGGGUGAUCGGCCACACUGGGACUGAGACACGGCCCAGACUCCUACGGGAGGCAGCAGUAGGGGAUCUUCGGCAAUGGGGGCAAACCUGAACGAGCCACGCCGCGUGAGUGAAGAAGGUUUUCGGAUCGUAAAGCUCUGUUGUAAGUCAAGAAAGGGUGUGAGAGUGGAAAGUUCACACUGUGACGGUAGCUUACCAGAAAGGGACGGCUAACUACGUG
rnacentral:rRNA from 1 species